rnacentral:rRNA from 1 species
AUACACGCUGGCGGCGUGCAUAACACCUGCAAGUCGAACGAUGAAACUUAGAUGAUUUCUUCGGAAUGAACUUAAGUGGAUUAGUGGCGAACGGGUGAGUAACACGUGAGUAACCUGCCUUACACAAGGGGAUAGCCUCUGGAAACGGAGAAUAAUACCCUAUAAAGUCUAAUCAGCUCCUGCUGGAAAGACCAAAGAUUUAUCGGUGUAAGAUGGACUUGCGUCUGAUUAGCUAGUUGGUGAGAUAAAAGCUCACCAAGGCGACGAUCAGUAGCCGGCUUGAGAGAGUGUACGGCCACAUUGGGACUGAGACACGGCCCAAACUCCUACGGGAGGCAGCAGUGGGGAAUUUUGCACAAUGGGGGAAACCCUGAUGCAGCGACGCCGCGUGAUUUAGAAGGCCUUCGGGUUGUAAAAAUCUUUUUUACGGGAUGAAAAUGACAGUACCGUAAGAAUAAGGUCCGGCUAAAUACGUG